rnacentral:rRNA from 1 species
AACGAACGCUGGCGGCGUGCCUAAUACAUGCAAGUCGAGCGCAGGAAGCUGACGGAACUCUUCGGAGGGAAGGCAGUGGAAUGAGCGGCGGACGGGUGAGUAACACGUAAGGAACCUGCCUCAAGGAUUGGGAUAACUCCGAGAAAUCGGAGCUAAUACCGGAUAGUUCAACGGACCGCAUGGUCCGCUGAUGAAAGGCGCUUCGGCGUCACCUUGAGAUGGCCUUGCGGUGCAUUAGCUAGUUGGUGGGGUAACGGCCCACCAAGGCGACGAUGCAUAGCCGACCUGAGAGGGUGAUCGGCCACACUGGGACUGAGACACGGCCCAGACUCCUACGGGAGGCAGCAGUAGGGAAUCUUCCACAAUGGACGAAAGUCUGAUGGAGCAACGCCGCGUGAGUGAUGGAGGUUUUCGGAUCGUAAAACUCUGUUGUAAGGGAAGAACACGUACGAGAGGGAAUGCUCGUACCUUGACGGUACCUUACGAGAAAGCCACGGCUAACUACGUGCCAGCCGCCGCAGUAAGAC